AGACACAGAAAUCAGUGUCACUCAGUGACAGAAGCAACAAUAAUUGUGAAAAAUACUUCAGCAGUUAUGGACUCAUCUGUCAUUCAAAGGAAAAAAGUAGCUGUCAUUGGUGGUGGCUUGGUUGGCUCAUUACAAGCAUGCUUUCUUGCAAAGAGGAAUUUCCAGAUUGAUGUAUAUGAAGCUAGGGAAGAUAGUCGAGUGGCUACCUUCACACGUGGAAGAAGCAUUAACUUAGCCCUUUCUCAUAGAGGACGACAAGCCUUGAAAGCUGUUGGCCUGGAAGAUCAGGUACUUAAUAUAUCUUUCUUACAGAAGAUAAUACCUGGUAUUUUUCAACAAUUGCGUGGUUUGAUUUCAUCCUGGCUUAAAAAGUACCAUUUAAUACCAAGAAUCUCUGCAUGAAAACUCAUUCUACUAAAGCUUUUAAAAUUUGAAAUUUGGCAAGAGGGUGAACAUUGGACACUCGAGGCACCCGAGGGGGACCCUGCAACCGGAUGAUUGCUUCUGAUAUUGGGUUCUCAACAGGAUGGUGCGUCACUGCCUGUAGAAAGUGAGAGUCAAGAUGGCAUCCAGGAUAAAAGGAGCCAGAUUCCUUUUUUUU
rnacentral:sRNA from 1 species